rnacentral:rRNA from 1 species
GGGGAAUCUUCCGCAAUGGACGAAAGUCUGACGGAGCAACGCCGCGUGAGUGAUAAAGGUCUUCGGAUUGUAAAGCUCUGUUAAUCGGGACGAAAGACUCUUGUGUGAAUAAUGCAGGAGAGUGACGGUACCGGAAUAGAAAGCCACGGCUAACUACGUGCCAGCAGCCGCGGUAAUACGUAGGUGGCAAGCGUUGUCCGGAAUUAUUGGGCGUAAAGCGCGCGCAGGCGGCCUAUCCAGUCUGUCUUAAAAGUUCGGGGCUCAACCCCGUGAUGGGAUGGAAACUAGUAGGCUAGAGUAUCGGAGAGGAAAGCGGAAUUCCUAGUGUAGCGGUGAAAUGCGUAGAUAUUAGGAAGAACACCAGUGGCGAAGGCGGCUUUCUGGACGAAAACUGACGCUGAGGCGCGAAAGCCAGGGGAGCGAACGGGAUUAAAUACCCCGGUAGUCCUGGCCGUAAACGAUGGGUACUAGGUGUAGGAGGUAUCGACCCCUUCUGUGCCGGAGUUAACGCAAUAAGUACCCCGCCUGGGGAGUACGGUCGCAAGGCUG